GCUUUGCCAUCUCAGUGGAACCUCUAAGAAAAUACUGUCGGAGAAAUAACUCUUCAGGCGGUAGUUUGUUGAACAUUAACGAGUUUGCUGCUUGCAUGCAAGGAGAGGCAGUAAACAGGGUUACUAGUGACCCUGCAAGACGAGGCUAAAGUUGGCAGUUCGUUACAUUGUUAUAUAUAAGUCAUGUUUCCUGACUGUCCCAUGACAUCUUGAUCAUAAGCCUCAGCGACACAAUACACCAAUCUUUUUAUGACAUUUACUAAUAUGUUAUUUAUUUUUAAGUUUAGCCACCAUCAACCAAGUGUGGUUUUUGCGGUUAAAGGCAUUUUGCGCUCUGCUGCAAAGUCUCACUUUUGGAGAAGCUCGGAGUGAUUGAAGGUAUCAGCUACGUGGCUAUGAGCAUGUUUAUAUUUUAAAAUUUUACUGCGUCUCAGAAUUUUCCUAGCUCUUGUUUUGACUGUCUGGAAUUUUGCAUGGUUUCUAAUGUCCAGAGCAUUCUGCCUUUUUACUGCCAUUGUAACCUUUGCUUUGCUGAUUGGGCUGUUUUGACACAUUUAACAUUAGCUUCAGCAGUGCGCACACCCAGAAAGAUGUUUCAGUCACGACUCGUGAGCUCAAAACCUCACUAACUAACCAACUUGACACAUCCUGUGCAAAAUUCCCUUGUUCUCCACAAUCCUGUGACUGGGACACGGAUUUAAACUCUGCCGGGAUAUCCCAUAAGUGGAUAAGAAGUAGAAGUUGGAAAGUCAAACUUGAAAUAGCUGCAAUAAGCACAGGACAGGAAGACAUAGGAGAAAAUAUAUGGUGUGGUGAGUGGAGAGCUUGGAGAGAGAGAGAGAGAGAGUUUGAAUCACGCUGACAGCAGGAAAAUCCUACAACAGACUGUCCCCAUGAUCUGCCCAGCUUUCUGUGCGCCGGGGAUUUCAGAGUCAGAGAAUCUUUGAGGCUAGUACAGGAGCAUUGUUUAAUAUUUUCAAACUGCAUUGCUGUCACUGUUCUUCCUUGUUUUACUCCCCUAUUUGUAAAGUCAAUGUCAGUGCUGUACCAACAUCAAAUGGCAUCAGUGAACAAGCUUAAAAUAUUUGUCUGGCUCAAGUGGAUCUGAAAUUGUGUCGGCAAGGGAGGGGGGAAAUAUAUCAAAAGCUGUUUUCAUUCACACAUUCCGACAUUGUAAAAAUGUGAAUUCUCUUUGCAUAGAUAGGAAAUGAAGACAGUUGUUUCAAGCUGAUGAAAGGAAAAUUCCAGAACUUGACGCCAGGAAAUUCCUGAGACAAUGUAACAUUUCAGCAAUGCCUGCUUUACUUUGCCAGCUUCAGAUACCUGAGAGACUUGAAUAUGCAAAAACUGAAAUAGCUUCGCCGCUGGGUUGUAGGUGCGCGUGACCUUGUUCAGGAUCAGUUGCAGAGUUAUGAAUCCGAUGUCGUGAGGUUUGUCCCAAAAUCAAGUAUUUGUGACUUGUGGCCUAUAUUAAUAUGAUGGUUUAACCUCAACAUCCUACAUAAUCCUGGUAAAAUCUGGGAACACACUAUUCGUCUUCCUAGCUGCUGGCUGACCAAGCAGGUUGGCUUCCUAUGAUUUGACCUGUGUUUUGCAGACAGCUCAGCAUAUAACGUCUUCACAAUUUACUUUCUGAUCUGUCUCUGCUGAGUCAGUUUUUAAACAAUAAAGACAGUCUUGAUCUGA